UUUAUUUCCCUUUUCUGGAGUGCAUGCCAGUGGAAAGCCAGUGUAGUGAAGGUGCAGUGUUUUUGAAGAGUUAUCGGGCUCUCUGACCUGCUCAGCCAUGUUUGCAAUGAGCAGAGCCUGAGUGUGAGGCCCGGACAUCGUGGCUGAGAUGGCGCUCCAGGGGAUGCUGCUGUCCAACUGAGGGCAAUGUUGCGGUGGGUGGUUCACCUGGAGGGAGGACCCCGCAGGGUGAACCAUGCUGCUGUGGCUGUUGGGCACAAAGUCUAUUCCUUCGGUGGCUAUUGUUCUGGAGAGGACUACGAGACCCUUCGUCAGAUCGACGUGCACGUCUUUAAUGCGGGCCAUGCCCAUAUUCCUCUGUGAUAUCACCACCUGAUUCUCACCUUCCUCCACUCACGAGGAUCCACAUCCCA